UACGAAGGGUGCAAGCGUUACUCGGAAUUACUGGGCGUAAAGCGUGCGUAGGCGGUUUGUUAAGUCCGUUGUGAAAGCCCUGGGCUCAACCUGGGAAUUGCAGUGGAUACUGGCGAGCUAGAGUGCGGUAGAGGAUGGUGGAAUUCCCGGUGUAGCGGUGAAAUGCGUAGAGAUCGGGAGGAACAUCUGUGGCGAAGGCGACUACCUGGACCAGCACUGACACUGAGGCACGAAAGCGUGGGGAGCAAACAGG
rnacentral:rRNA from 1 species